UGCCAGCCGCUGCGGUAAUACUGAAGGUGUAAGCGUUAAUCGGAAUCACUGGGCGCAAAGCGCGCGUAGGCGCACUAGUCAGUCAGAGGUGAAAUCCCAGGGCUCAACCCUGGAACUGCCUUUGAUACUGCUAGUCUUGAGUUCGAGAGAGGUAAGUGGAAUUUCGAGUGUAGAGGUGAAAUUCGUAGAUAUUCGGAGGAACACCAGUGGCGAAGGCGACUUACUGGCUCGAUACUGACGCUGAGGUGCGGAAGUGUGGGGAGCAAACAGGAUUAGAUA
rnacentral:rRNA from 1 species